rnacentral:rRNA from 1 species
CCCUUAGAUGUUCUGGGCCGCACGCGCGCUACACUGUUCGACGCAGCGAGUCUUAACCUUGACCGAAAGGUUUGGGUAAUCUUCAGCAAAGUCGAACGUGAUGGGGAUCGAUCAUUGCAAUUAUUGAUCGUGAACGAGGAAUUCCUAGUAAGUGCAAGUCAUCAGCUUGCGCUGAUUACGUCCCUGCCCUUUGUACAUACCGCCCGUCGCUACUACCGAUUGAAUGGUUUAGUGAGAUCUCUGGAUUGACGCUGGCUAGGGGGCGACCCUUGGCCAGACUGUUGAGAAACUGCUCAAACUUGAUCAUUUAGAGGAAGUAAAAGUCGUAACA